rnacentral:rRNA from 1 species
UACGUAGGGCGCAAGCGUUGUCCGGAAUUAUUGGGCGUAAAGAGCUCGUAGGCGGUUUGUCGCGUCUGUCGUGAAAGCUUGGGGCUUAACCCCAAGUCUGCGGUGGAUACGGGCAGACUAGAGGCAGGUAGGGGAGAACGGAAUUCCUGGUGUAGCGGUGGAAUGCGCAGAUAUCAGGAGGAACACCGGUGGCGAAGGCGGUUCUCUGGGCCGUAACUGACGCUGAGGAGCGAAAGCAUGGGGAGCGAACAGG